rnacentral:rRNA from 1 species
UACGUAGGUGGCAAGCGUUGUCCGGAAUCACUGGGCGUAAAGCGUGCGUAGGCGGUUUGUUAAGUCCGCUGUGAAAGCCCUGGGCUCAACCUGGGAAUUGCAGUGGAUACUGGCAAGCUAGAGUGCGGUAGAGGAUGGUGGAAUUCCCGGUGUAGCGGUGAAAUGCGUAGAGAUCGGGAGGAACACCCGUGGCGAAGGCGGCCAUCUGGACCAGCACUGACGCUGAGGCACGAAAGCGUGGGGAGCAAACAGG